rnacentral:rRNA from 1 species
UACGGAGGGGGCUAGCGUUGUUCGGAAUUACUGGGCGUAAAGCGCGCGUAGGCGGCUUUGCAAGUUAGAGGUGAAAGCCCGGAGCUUAACUCCGGAACUGCCUUUAAAACUGCAUCGCUAGAAUCGUGGAGAGGUGAGUGGAAUUCCGAGUGUAGAGGUGAAAUUCGUAGAUAUUCGCAAGAACACCAGUGGCGAAGGCGGCUCACUGGCCCGAUACUGACGCUGAGGUGCGAAAGCGUGGGGAGCAAACAGG